rnacentral:rRNA from 1 species
CCAAUAGCGUAUAUUAAAGUUGUUGCAGUUAAAAAGCUCGUAGUUGAAUUUCGGGGUUCUACCGUUGGUCGGGCUUUGUCUGUACUGGCGUGUAGAAUUUCUACCUUCUGGGGAACCACCAUGUUAUUAAUUUAACGUGGUGGGAAACCAGGACCUUUACCUUGAAAAAAUUAGAGUGUUCAAAGCAGGCUUAUGUCUGAAUACAUUAGCAUGGAAUAAUAAAAUAGGACGGUGGUCCUGUUUUUUUGGUUUCUGAAUCACCGUAAUGAUUAAUAGGUAUAGUUGGGGGCAUUAGUAUUCAAUUGUCAGAGGUGAAAUUCUUGGAUUUAUUGAAGACUAACUUCUGCGAAAGCAUUUGCCAAGGAUGUUUUCAUUAAUCAAGAACGAAAGUUAGGGGAUCGAAGACGAUCAGAUACCGUCGUAGUCUUAACCAUAAACUAUGCCGACUAGGGAUCGGAUGAUGUUAAUUUUUUAAUGACUCAUUCGGCGCCUUACG